UUUAUGAAAAUUACUUUGGGUGAAGCUAGUAAAUUUCUUGAUAAUAUUAUGGUAAAUUAUUCACAAUGGCAUACCGAAAGAGCACCUACUAGUAAAAAGGUUAAUUCGAUUGAAGAAAUAAAUUCUUUGAGUGAAAAGGUUGAUGCUCUUAUGAAAUUGGUUGCUAAUAAAAGUGCUCCUAUUUAUCUUAAUGAUGUGCCUUUGUUUACUUUGAUUGAGCAAAAUAGUGAUCCCAUAGAUGUGAAUUUUGUCUCGCGAAACAAUUUCAAUAACAAUGCUUAUAGAGGUAAUUUUAAUCCUAGGCCUUUCCCUGGAAAGUCCUCUAACAAUUAUGGUAAUUCCUAUGGUAAUUCU
rnacentral:rRNA from 1 species